GUGUCAGCAGCCGCGGUAAUACGAAGGGGGCUAGCGUUGUUCGGAAUUACUGGGCGUAAAGGGCGCGUAGGCGGCCUUGAUAGUUGGGCGUGAAAGGCCUGGGCUCAACCCGGGAACUGCGUUCAAUACUGUAAGGCUAGAGUGUGGGAGAGGUUGGUGGAAUUCCCAGUGUAGAGGUGAAAUUCGUAGAUAUUGGGAAGAACACCGGUGGCGAAGGCGGCCAACUGGACCACAACUGACGCUGAGGCGCGAAAGCGUGGGGAGCAAACAGGAUUAGAAACCCCUGUAGUCC
rnacentral:rRNA from 1 species